rnacentral:rRNA from 1 species
GACGGCUCCGACAGUGAGGGACGAAAGCUGGGGGAGCAAACCGGAUUAGAUACCCGGGUAGUCCCAGCCGUAAACGAUGUGCGUUAGGUGUAUCGGUGACCACGAGUCACCGAGGUGCCGAAGAGAAAUCGUGAAACGUACCGCCUGGGAAGUACGGUCGCAAGGCUGAAACUUAAAGGAAUUGGCGGGGGAGCACCACAACAGGUGGAGCCUGCGGUUUAAUCGGACUCAACGCCGGAAAACUCACCAGAUAAGACAGCUGAAUGAUAGUCGGGCUGAAGACUCUACUUGACUAGCU